ensembl:lncRNA
CAUGAAGUGAGUAAUAUCUUUAGAAGAAUCCAUUGUAACAAUUCUUUCUCUUUUGUUAUGUACCCUGGAGCAAAUGUGUGGCCGAUUGCAUUUGUGGCACAAAUACACACAGUGGGGCAACCCUAUCAAAACUAUGCAUCAACAACUCAAGAAGAACAAAUAACUUGGGUUACAGAAGAACUAAGAUUGCUGUUUCCUGUGCUUCAUUGAAGUAGAUGAAGUAUGACUUCCAAGAGAGCAGUCUUUCUGCCUACUCACCAUCAUCCAGAGGAGCUUCCUGGAUCCCUGCGCUUCCAUGAGAACGGAGGGGAGAUGCAGCUCCUACAGCCGCCAGGAGCCACCAGCUUUGAAGAAAGGGAUGAGAUGACCUCAUUAAGCAAUGCAAAAUUUACUCUUAAAAAUACAGACCAACAGAGCCGUAGAAACAACACAGUAUAUAUUUUUAAGUACCUUAGUCAAUUCAUUCAAAAACUGUACGUUGUCAGGAGGAGGGGAUGCAGUUUAAUAAUUUUAAUGGCCAACACUUAAUAAAAGAUUAAAGGUCUAAUACAUUAAAAAGGAAACUCUGCUGAUGGUAAU